UACAGAGGUCUCGAGCGUUGUUCGGAUUCAUUGGGCGUAAAGGGUGCGUAGGUGGCGCUGUAAGUCGGGUGUGAAAUCCUGAGGCUUAACCUCGGAACUGCAUUCGAUACUGCGGUGCUUGAGGACUGGAGAGGAGACUGGAAUUCAUGGUGUAGCAGUGAAAUGCGUAGAUAUCGUAAGGAAGACCAGUGGCGAAGGCGGGUCUCUGGACAGUUCCUGACGCUGAGGCACGAAGGUCAGGGGAGCAAACGGG
rnacentral:rRNA from 1 species